UGGUGGAGCGAUUUGUCUGGUU
rnacentral:ncRNA from 2 species